GUGAAAUAUAAGAUUUGAAAUAUAUACGGGGUUAUAAAAUUAAUCAUCUUGAGUGAAAAUUUUUCGUGAAAUUCUCUAAAUACACAUCUAUGUUAAUAAUGAGCUUUGAAAUAACAACUUGAUUGACACAAAAACAAAAAUUAUAUUGAUUACUUAUACUUUGAUAGGUACAAACAAUGGUUAUACUUUUACUUGUACCCAGGCCAGUCAAUGGUGUGAAAAAGAAAUCGUUUAUACUAUAAGUUAUGACAGUGAUUCCCAAAAUGGUGCAGGGGUCCACGGGAAGCUUUAUAACAGGAGCGUACUUCAAUUUCCAUAAUAUCUGAUUUUUUGACUAGUUGGAAAUAUGGUGUAAAUGUAUCAACUUUAACAAUAAUUAUUUUGAGUGGUUUACGAGGAAAAAAAGUUUGGGAACUUCUGAGUUAAGGGGAUCGUGAAAAAUAAUGAUAUAAAGUUUUUCUAUAUUUAAUUCAAAAAUAAAGUUGUUGUGGUUUAGAUAAA